CAUGGUCUCAAAGUACCGAGAACCUUUAAUCCACACCUUCCUCAGAGGAGCAAGAGAUCCGGAUAGUGCUCACAGGGCCAGCAGCCUGUCCAACCUUGGAGAGCUGUGCCAGAGGCUGGACUUUAUGCUGGGCUCCGUGGUUCAUGAGGUAACAGCUUGUCUGAUUGCUGUGGCGAAAACAGACCAUGAAGUCCAGGUGCGGAGAGCUGCCAUCCACGUGAUUGUGCUGCUGCUUCGGGGACUCAGCCAGAAGGCCACUGAGGUGCUGAGGGAUGUCCUCAAGGAUCUCUACCACCUGCUGAAGCACGUGCUGUGUUUGGAGCCCGAUGACGUGGCCAGGCUUCAUGCCCAGCUGGCCCUGGAAGAGCUGGAUGAGAUCAUGAGAAACUUCCUGUUUCCGCCACAGAAGCUGGAGAAAAAGAUCACGGUCUUGCCAUAGACCAGCCUCAAAGGACUCGGAGGAGGCAGAGGGACCAAACAGCCUGAGCAGUGUCCAGGCCUUCCAGCAGGUGGCCCCACUGCCCCUUUGGAGCUGGCAACAUGGCUGCCCCUGGAGGUGUCUUUCUGUCUCUGGUCACGUGUGUCUUCAUGCGGACCUUCCUGUAUCAUCUGUUUAGUCAUACUGCAUCCAGUCUAAAGUGUGUACCAAUAGAAGAUACUACAGGUCUCAUUGAUCUGAACAUUUUUCACUGUCCCGUAGCAUUCAGAGAAGGACAUCUACCUGAUGGAAGUAUAUUUUUAACACAACCGAUGGAAUUUAGUUAAUUAACCAUUCUUUUACGACUUGAGUAUAGAAGAGGUUGACCACUCACCUAUCACAUAUCUGAUAUUCUUCCCUGGUGAUGGUCCUUUUGUAAUGAGGAGCAGCCAGCCAGGGCUAGUCACCCUUAGCUGCUCAGGUGGCAUUUCAGAGGAUGGAGAUACAGCUGGUGGUAGGGAGGGAAAGGAAUUUGUUAUCAAAAUGUGCAGAAAUGGAAUAAAAUAAUCUCAGCUGGAAAGAAUAACAGGUCUGAAUCUGGUCCUCUGCUAUUGAGAUGAAAAGCUGUAGCAUUGAGGAUUCGAUCUCCAGAAAAAAGAAUCAAACUGGUUGAAUCUUCCAGAGAAGAAGGGUAAGCGCUGUGUUUGCCCUCCCAGACCAUUUUCUUUCACUUCCUCUGCUAAUGUUUGCAUUGAGUUGCCCUGAUAAUAGGAGAAAAGAGUCAUGAACAUCUCAGAUGGAAGUUUAUAUCCUGCCUUCAGUCUAUGCUCCUUUAGAUUAAGGAAUGUUUAGACAGCGUGUUCAUACUAAAUGCCUGUUGGAAGUGUACUGUUUAUUGGUGACCUGAUGCCAUGUUUGCUGAAGUAAUUUCACAUGUAGUGCUAUAGAUGUCUUUUUACCAAUUUACAUAUUUCGACCUCUGAAUUUUGAUUACAGCUAAAAGAGAAGACAAAAAGGAGAAACUGGAUGACUGCUUCAGACAAGCCCUCUCUGUCAUCAACACCUUGAUGCCGGUGCAGCUGACAACAGCCCUGCGCGUGGUGGGCACCAGCCUGUUUGCCUUGGCAGUGCUGGGUGGGAUCCUGGCAGCUUAUGUGACAGGCUACCAGUUCAUCCAUACAGAAAAACACUAUCUGUCCUUCGGGCUGUACGGUGCCAUCCUGGGCCUGCACCUGCUCAUCCAGAGCCUAUUUGCCUUCCUGGAGCACCGGCGCAUGCGACGGGCGGGCCGGACCCUGAAGCUGCCCUCCCCACUGCGGCGCUCGGUGGCGCUCUGCAUCGCUGCGUACCAGGAGGACCCCGACUACCUGCGCAAGUGCCUGCGCUCAGCCCAGCGCAUCGCCUUCCCCGACCUCAAAGUGGUCCUGGUGGUGGACGGCAAUCGCCAGGAGGAUGCCUACAUGCUGGACAUCUUCCAUGAGGUGCUCGGGGCCACUGAGCAAGCCGGCUUCUUUGUGUGGCGCAGCAACUUCCAUGAGGCGGGUGAGGGCGAGACGGAGGCCAGCCUUCAGGAGGGCAUGGACCGCGUUCGGGAUGUGGUGCGGGCCAGCACCUUCUCAUGCAUCAUGCAGAAGUGGGGAGGCAAGCGAGAGGUCAUGUACACAGCCUUCAAGGCCCUUGGUGAUUCGGUGGACUACAUCCAGGUGAGGUUGCCUCCCUAGGUGUGUGUGGACGUGUGAAUGUGUCCAGCCAGCGAGGCAUACUCUCCUGGGGAAUUAUAGGUCCAGUCAAGGUCCC